GGUUCGGUGGUGUAGCUGGUUAACACACGGCCCUGUCACGGCUGAGAUCGCGGGUUCGAGUCCCGUCCGGACCGCCA
rnacentral:tRNA from 1 species